CUAUGCGCCUUGCCAGCCCGCUCAGUCAGAGUUUGAUCCUGGCUCAGAUUGAACGCUGGCGGCAGGCCUAACACAUGCAAGUCGAGCGGUAGCACAAGAGAGCUUGCUCUCUGGGUGACGAGCGGCGGACGGGUGAGUAAUGUCUGGGAAUCUACCCAAAAGAGGGGGAUAACUACUAGAAAUGGUAGCUAAUACCGCAUAAAGUUGAAAACCAAAGUGGGGGACCUUAAAAAGCCUCAUGCUUUGGAUGAGCCCAGAAGAGAUUAGCUUGUUGGUAAGGUAAAAGCUUACCAAGGCCACGAUCUCUAGCUGGUCUGAGAGGAUAACCAGCCACACUGGAACUGAGACACGGUCCAG
rnacentral:rRNA from 1 species